rnacentral:rRNA from 1 species
ACGUAGGAGGCGAGCGUUAUCCGGAUUUACUGGGCGUAAAGCGCGUGUAGGCGGUUCGGUGAGUUGGAUGUGAAAGCUCCUGGCUUAACUGGGAGAGGUCGUUCAAUACUGCCGGACUAGAGAAUGGGAGAGGGAGGUGGAAUUCCGGGUGUAGUGGUGAAAUGCGUAGAUAUCCGGAGGAACACCAGAGGCGAAGGCGACACCCUGGGCCGUACCUGACGCUAAGACGCGACAGCACGGGGAGCGAACGG